GAUGAAGAACGCAGUGAAACGCGAUAUGUAAUGUGAAUUGCAGAAUUCAGUGAAUCAUCGAAUCUUUGAACGCACAUGGCGCCUUCCAGUAUCCUGGGAGGCAUGCCUGUCCGAGCGUCGUUUCAACCCUCGAGCCCCCGUGGCCCGGCGUUGGGGAUCUGCCACGGCAGGCCCCUAAAACCAGUGGCGGACCCGAAGGCCCUCUCCUUUGCGCAGUAGCAUCAGCCUCGCAUUGGGAUCCCUCGGCGUCCUGCCUCUAAACCCCCCACAAGUCCGCUCCGGCGGCACCAAGGUUGACCUCGGAUCAGGUAGGAAUACCCGCUGAACUUAAGCAUAUCAAUAAGCGGAGGA
rnacentral:misc_RNA from 1 species